GGGGUGUGGCGGCCGCCAAUAGAUGCAGUCGAACGAACUCUGGUAUUGAUUGGUGCUUGCAUCAUGAUUUACAUUUGAGUGAGUGGCGAACUGGUGAGUAACACGUGGGAAACCUGCCCAGAAGCGGGGGAUAACACCUGGAAACAGAUGCUAAUACCGCAUAACAACUUGGACCGCAUGGUCCGAGCUUGAAAGAUGGCUUCGGCUAUCACUUUUGGAUGGUCCCGCGGCGUAUUAGCUAGAUGGUGGGGUAACCGGUCUCACCCAUUGGCAAUGAUAUCGUAGCCGACCUGAGAGGGUAAUCGGCCACAUUGGGACUGAGACACGGCCCAAACUCCUACGGGAGGCAGCAGUAGGGAAUCUUCCACAAUGGACGAAAGUCUGAUGGAGCAACGCCCGCGUGAGUGAAGAAGGGUUUCGGCUCGUAAAACUCUGUUGUUAAAGAAGAACAUAUCUGAGAGUAACUGUUCAGGUAUUGACGGUAUUUAACCCAGAAAGCCACGGCUAACUACGUGCCAGCAGCCGCGGUAAUACGUAGGUGGCAAGCGUUGUCCGGAUUUAUUGGGCGUAAAGCGAGCGCAGGCGGUUUUUUAAGUCUGAUGUGAAAGCCUUCGGCUCAACCGAAGAAGUGCAUCGGAAACUGGGAAACUUGAGUGCAGAAGAGGACAGUGGAACUCCAUGUGUAGCGGUGAAAUGCGUAGAUAUAUGGAAGAACACCAGUGGCGAAGGCGGCUGUCUGGUCUGUAACUGACGCUGAGGCUCGAAAGUAUGGGUAGCAAACAGGAUUAGAUACCCUGGUAGUCCAUACCGUAAACGAUGAAUGCUAAGUGUUGGAGGGUUUCCGCCCUUCAGUGCUGCAGCUAACGCAUUAAGCAUUCCGCCUGGGGAGUACGGCCGCAAGGCUGAAACUCAAAGGAAUUGACGGGGGCCCGCACAAGCGGUGGAGCAUGUGGUUUAAUUCGAAGCUACGCGAAGAACCCUUACCAGGUCUUGACAUACUAUGCAAAUCUAAGAGAUUAGACGUUCCCUUCGGGGACAUGGAUACAGGUGGUGCAUGGCUGUCGUCAGCUCGUGUCGUGAGAUGUUGGGUUAAGUCCCGCAACGAGGCGCAACCCUUAUUAUCAGUUGCCCAGCAUUAAGUUGGGCACUCUGGUGAGACUGCCGGUGACAAACCGGAGGAAGGUGGGGAUGACGUCAAAUCAUCAUGCCCCUUAU
rnacentral:rRNA from 2 species